rnacentral:rRNA from 1 species
AGAGUUUGAUCCUGGCUCAGAAUGAACGUUGGCGGCGUGGAUUAGGCAUGCAAGUCGAACGGGCCUGGUUUUCGGAUCAGGUCAGUGGCGCAAGGGUGAGUAAGGCGACGGUAACCAACCCCAUGGUUGGGUAUAGCCGCGGGAAACUGCGGGUAAUCCCCAGCGAUGUAAGACGCCGGCAUCGGUGUUUUAUCAAAGCU